AUGACGACACAAGAAAAGGCACCCCACGCCGUCCGCCGCCGGGUCGUCUUGUUCCCGCUGCCGUUCCAGGGCCACCUCAGCCCCAUGCUCCAGCUGGCCGAGCUCCUCCGCGCCCGCGGCCUGGCCGUCACCGUCCUCCAUACCGACUUCAACGCGCCCGACCCCCCGCACCAUCCGGAGCUUGCCUUUGUCUCGAUCCACGAGGCGCUCCCGCACGUGGCCACCUCCCCCGACGCCGACAUCGUCGCGCAGCUCCUGGCCCUCAACAACGGUUGCGAGGCGCCGUUCCGGGAGGCCCUGGCAUCGCUGCUGCUGCUGCGUGAGGACGUCGCCUGCGUGGUCGUCGACGGGCAGUGGUACGCGGCGCUGGGGGCGGCGGGCGUGCUCGGCGUCCCCGUGCUCGCGCUCCGGACGGACAGCGCCGCCACGUUCGGCAGCUUACUUGCGUUCCCUCGGCUGCGCGACGCCGGCUACGUCCCCAUCAAAGGCAAGUGGUGCGAGCUAAUUGAAUUCGUACUCAACCGACGGAUGGACUGA
rnacentral:rRNA from 1 species